rnacentral:rRNA from 1 species
ACGGCUCAGUAACACGUCGAUAAUCUGCCCUUGAGUCCUGGAUAACCUUGGGAAACUGAGGCUAACACGAGAUAGGGGAAUUCUACUGGAAUGUGUUUUCCCUCAAAAGCAAUGCUCAAGGAUGAGUUGGCGGCGGAUUAGCUUGUUGGUGGGGUAAUGGCCCACCAAGGCGUUGAUCCGUAGGGGCCUUGGAAGAGGUAGCCCCGAGAAGGACACUGAGAUACUGGUCCUAGCCCCACGGGGUGCAGCAGGCGCGAAAACUUUACACUACACGAAAGUGUGAUAAGGGGAUUCCAAGUGCCUAUACUAAGUAUAGGCUUUUUUUGAGAGUAAAGAUCUCGAAGAAUAAGUGGUGGGUAAGACCGGUGCCAGCAGCCGCGGUAAUA